GAGAAGCUCCUCCUCAGAACUCGAAUUCUCAGGGGAGGAGAUGAAUGAGAAGCAAUGGAUUCUUUCGACUGAGAAUAUGCAUGAAAGGUCCACCAUAGUUGAGGCUCAUGCUAAGUGCAAGAACAUCGUGUCAUGGGUGAAGGAGGACUCUUCAACAGUGGUGGUCCCUGCCCUUGAUCUCAUCAUGUACAGGCAUUUGCCCUGGACACCAUCAUCAUCAUCAUCAACUUCCUCCUCCUGGUCUUCAGUCGUAAUCAAUGAAGCAGAUUUGGAAGCGGCCUCCAUAUGCCGCAGCGUCAGAUUCAACCUUGGGCCAAGUCAUGGGCCAAGCGAGGUCACCAGCCCUAGAACUGGUGCCAGGACACGGAACCCAACUCC